rnacentral:rRNA from 1 species
GACGAACGCUGGCGGCGCGCCUAACACAUGCAAGUCGAACGGAGCUUAGAGAGCUUGCUUUUUAAGCUUAGUGGCGAACGGGUGAGUAACGCGUGAGUAACCUGCCCUAGAGUGGGGGACAACAGUUGGAAACGACUGCUAAUACCGCAUAAGCCCACGGUACCGCAUGGUACUGAGGGAAAAGGAUUUAUUCGCUUUAGGAUGGACUCGCGUCCAAUUAGCUAGUUGGUGAGGUAACGGCCCACCAAGGCGACGAUUGGUAGCCGGACUGAGAGGUUGAACGGCCACAUUGGGACUGAGACACGGCCCAGACUCCUACGGGAGGCAGCAGUGGGGGAUAUUGCACAAUGGGGGAAACCCUGAUGCAGCGACGCCGCGUGGAGGAAGAAGGUUUUCGGAUUGUAAACUCCUGUCGUUAGGGACGAUAAUGACGGUACCUAACAAGAAAGCACCGGCUAACUACGUGCCAGCAGCCGCGGUAAAACGUAGGGUGCAAGCGUUGUCCGGAA